rnacentral:rRNA from 1 species
UAAUACGGAGGGUGCAAGCGUUAUCCGGAUUCACUGGGUUUAAAGGGUGCGUAGGAGGGCAGGUAAGUCAGUGGUGAAAUCUCCGGGCUUAACCCGGAAACUGCCUCUGAUACUAUCUGUCUUGAAUACCGUGGAGGUGAGCGGAAUAUGUCAUGUAGCGGUGAAAUGCUUAGAUAUGACAUAGAACACCAAUUGCGAAGGCAGUUCACUACACGAAUUAUUGACUCUGAGGCACGAAAGCGUGGGGAGCAAACAGGAUUAGAUACCCUGGUAGUCCACGCCCUAAACCAUGGAUACUCGACAUACGCGAUACACAGUGUGUGUCUGAGCGAAAGCAUUAAGUAUCCCACCUGGGAAGUACGACCGCAAGGUU